ensembl:lncRNA
CAGAGGUUAAACUCUAUUUAUCAACUUAAAGCCUUCAGCUGUUCUCCAAUUUAGAAAGAGGUGUUUGUAUGAGAGGGCAAAGUCUGAAGUUAUUGUUGGGUUGUUUUAGGCAAGCUUUCACAUUGAUUCUGGUGCAACAUAAGGUUAAGGCAGUGAAUUUUCUGAGACCUGAUACUGAGACACGGAAAGCUGUCUCUCCUGUUUCCCUCAUCUACACAAGCUGUGACUUAAAGAGCAGAAAAAGCAGUGAGCCUGGAGAAGAGCUCUGUGGUUACCUUUGCUUGUAACAACCCUUUUGAUGACUAGAAAAAAGUAGAAAAGGCACUUCAACCUCUGUCCUUAGAGGUUGUCAAGAUUAACAGCUUUUCCAACAAGGAUGCACCGUCUCCCCUCUUCUAUCCACAUAAAUCCCUGUCCUUAGAAGCUCAGUAGACCAUGUUAUAUUUUAUUUGACUGCCUCCAUGUGUAAGGGAGGUACUCUGGAAGUGUUUUCUAUAAGGAGAAGGGAAAAAACAACAACAACAACAAAAAACAACCAAACGAAGCCAAAAAGAACCCACCCACAAAUCCAAAAACCGGACCUGACCAUGUCUCAUAAACAAGACUGGUGACACAAUGAUACAGAACAGAGCCUGGAUGGAGAUUGAAAGAGGCAGCUUUUCUCUAAAGGAUUUCUUCAGAAAGAAGAGGUGGUGAAUACUGUAUGAAGCAGCUGAAGAAGCUGACUGUUGCGGUUCAGUGUCCACGGAUGCUCUUUAUGAGGUUAUACUCGGAGUUUAAUUUGGACUGCACCGUAGUAAGAUCCAGUUCACUUUGAAAAUACAAAUGCUCCUGUGCCGUAUAUCUUGAAGGGCUCUUCUCUGUUCUCCACUGAUGUCUGAUCUGAAUGACGAACCCACAUUUCUAAAGGAAAAUCCAUCAAGUUGAAUUUACCACAGCAACAAUGCCAAAGUGUGCCUGAUAUGAGUGACCUUAUUUAGUGAAGCUGGAUGGUAAUUUUUUUAAUCAGAACAGCUGUUUUGCUGAAAAGGGCUGUUUUAAUGACAACUCGUCCCCUAUAAAUAGGAUUGCUCUCGGGGAUUUUUUUUUUAAAUUUGGUUUAAAUGCUCAAGUUAAGUUUUAUCAUUUUGGCAUUUUUCCCAAGAUGAAUGGCAAAGACAUUUCAGAAUGGUAACAGUUUCUGUAAAAAUGGAAACUACAUUUAACUUAUUAUCAAGGCCACUUGCUAUGAAAGUAUUUAAUUAAAGCAUUCCUAUUUAAAUACCUAUUUGAAAGAAACACAUUUUAUAUUAAAUUUCCAUUAACUUUGAAGAUUUUACUAAAGAAUCUUAAAGAAAUCAUCAAAGUUUGCUGUUGUGUCCAAUUAAUCACAGUUCCAUAUAAUCAUUUCUUACAACUAUACUUAACAUUUCCUAUUGCCAUAAAACCAGAAACAGCCAUAAUCAGUGUAAUCCAAGUAUUUUCAGUCUCAUAUUCUGUUUUUGGCAGUGAUCUGUAGCAGGCUUUCAAAGAAAGAGUAGAAGAAGAGAAUCACUAAAUGGCGACUUUUCUCCCCAAUUAUCUUUACAGAUUGUGGCAGUUGUGGCUUAGGGAGUUUUGUAAGUUGGAUGUAAUGUUCAAGUAAUCAUAUAUAAUAUCUUUCUUCCAUUAACUUGUCUAUUUUUUCUUCAAAAUUGUCAGAACAGUUGGUACUCACAAGAUCCUGUGGCAAGGAGAUUUAAGAAAUAAUUUUGUUUUUGGUGAAAAAGGAGCUUCCUUUUGCUUGUUUCAGACUGGUUUCUGCCAUUUUAAUUUUUUACAUGCCUUUAUCUUAUAUUUUGGGAAAUAGUGGUAAAACUGCAUUUUAUAGGCUUUUUUUCAUAUAUUUGAUCGUUCGGGUUACUCCCUUCCAUCGCUUUUCCUGGUUCUGCUCUGUCAAUUUUGGGGUUGUCUACGGAGAUGGCACGCGUAGAUUUAUAUAGUCAACAAAGGUUGUUUCUGUUUUUUAUUUUUAAAUUAACUAUUGCUUUCCUAAUAGGUUCUAGCAUUGUAUUUACAUUUUUUUACCAUCAUUUAAAGUAAGAGGAUCUUUCUAGAGAGCUUCUCACAGUUACUUUAAAAUCUUUUCUAAAUAGUCAUAGUUAAUCCAGAGAUAACUGAGGUCUUACGUAUUUCUUCUUCAUGACUUUCAUUUCUUCACAUUUUAACUGCCAUUCUCUCACCCGCUUACUUUACGUACAAGAUACCUCAGAACCACUUUUAGUUUUGAGUAGCAGGAAUAGCUUUGUAUAUUCGGUGAAAUUCCUCACCUGAGGAGUUGCAUUGGUUUCCCUGUCAUGUGCCAAUGCAGUGAGCAGAUCCCAUGGGACAAUUUCUUCCUUCCUACCCUCUGUUUGCUGCCUCUGAUCCUGUUGGUGGGUGCAGGAAUACCAUCUUGUUUCAUCCCAGUACACCCGCAGCUCUUAACAAGGUUUAGAUAAAGAAUAUGACCCAAAGCUUCUGUGAAGUAGGAGCUACAAUAUUUCACCCAGGUCAUUCCUGUUCACAAACUUACCAAAUCCUUCAAAGUAUGUUUGUGAGUCAAGAUUUUUUUUCUUCUAACGAUAGCCAUUUUAGCAGUUUUUUAUUGUAUUAAAUUUAUUUAAUUGUCUGCUAAUUCUGUUCUGUUUCAGCCAACCAGUCAGAUUUAAUGGACCUAGCUCCUUCAUCCUGUGAAGCCUUUUAAAAACUGCUUUUUUUCAUUUUUUCUGUCUUUAAUACUGAGCUGAAUGCUCAGUGAUAGGGUACAUGUCACAGUAAGUACUUUGGCUAUUUCAUAUCCAAUACUAUCUUGAUGCUGGUGACUUGUUACUACUAAUUUUAUUCAUUUAUUCUGAAACUUCUACUGACAUUUCAGUUUGACACGAUUCCUCAGACAUAUUUCCUGUGUAGAAAAGAAAAAAAGGAGUUGAAAAAUUCACUGAUAGCUGAACAUCCUUAAUCUCUUCCAUCAAGAAAGCUGAUGUAAAGAAUGCAGUUAGGGUUGGAUUUUUCUUUUUCUUUUCUUUUUUUGAUUUUUUGCAACGGUUUUAUCUUCCUUCAAUCUUUCUUUAAUAGCUCAAUUUCUUAUCAGUCCUGCAGACUCUUUGGUAGGAUUCUUUUUUGGAUUGUGGAUUGAAAAAGUUUUUGCUAUUUACUUUUUUUUGUCUAUAACAUGUUGACGGUUAGAAAUCCUUUUUUUUUUUGUCCUACUUUCUUAUAUCUUCUUAUCUAAAGUGUCAGGGUUUCAACUUGGCUCUUUUACUGUUUUGGAUCUGAUUUCUCCUUUUAAAGAAGAAUGUCCUCUGUCUCUUAUUGGACAUUUUUAUUGUUGUCAUUUGUUUAUUGUUUUUGAUUCUGGUUUUAUAUCAAACUUUCUUUGAUCAUUUUGAAAGGAUAGGUGGCAAGCAUUUCCUCUGAAUAUCUCAUUUAGCUUUCUAAAUAGUCCCCAUGCAACCCAUAAAUGUCUUCCCUUUUUAUCUUCAAUCUCUUAGUUCCCUAUUAAUCAUUUUUAGGUGUCUCUUCUAUUAGAGUUAAGCAUUACUAUAGAUCUAAUCAUCCUUAUCACAUCACUGUCACUGUCUCAGUUAUGAUCAAGAGUAGUACUGUUCCUCAUAUGUGUGCAUGGAAUUUCAGCUCAUAUGAAUCCUUUACAGUAAAUAUUUUCACCGUAAGUAUUUUCUCAGCUAGGUGUUUAACUUCUGCUCUCUCUGGUCUCAUGUUAAGAACAAGAUGCUUUUCUGGGCUGGACAUGUGCUGUCUGUCUGUAGCUUUAGUUUUGCCUGUUUGAAUUCCCUCCUUGCCCUUUCAGUCUUGCUGAUGCCCAGGCUGGCCAUCACUGCAAGCUUUUCCUCCAAUACUCAGCUGAUGUACCAUGGCCAACUGUAAAGUUUAUUUAUUACUUGUGUGUUUGUGUGUAUAAAAAAAUGUGUAGUGUGCAUACACCAUUAACCUGAUAUAAACCAGUAAGGGAAUGUUUGUUUGAAGUGUUGCUGAGGAGGGAGAGCCAAAGGUAUACUGACAUCUAGCAUGGAGAAAUUUCGGAGGUGUUAGGAACAGUGUUUUCUUUAGAAUUCUCUUUAAAAGCAUACAAAGCUAGGGCUUUUAUCUAAGAAAAGGAAGGAAAGCUCCUCUUUUCCUGAGCAACUCUACUUGUAAAUGAAAAGAGCUUACCCUAAUCCCUGCAGCAAGUGGUGAUGAAAACCAAGAAAUCCAACAAGAAUAGGCCUCUUUCUGCAGCAGCACAAGAAUCCUUGGGCCAGUUAAUUGUUCCUUUUUUCAGUGGCUUAAAUUACAAGAUCUCUUGCAUAUUCUCGACCUGUAGUAAAAGAACAUGACUAGUCAUCUUCGGUAUUACAAUUCCUUAUGGGAUGCCCCAUCAUCCGACAGCAAAGAGUCAUUGUAGGAAGCUAAUAGUGCCUGAAGGUAUAAUAACCUCUGAGGGGAAAAAACAGCUUGAAGAUGAUGAUCAUUAAAAGCCAAAGCAUUUUCUUUGACAUACUACACCAGAUAAGACUGGAUUAUGGUUGUUAUUGAAUUACUAUUGUAGAGGAAGUAGCUAUGAAUUGAUGUUGUUAAUUUUUUUAGGAAAUGUUUUAAAUUGAAUGUAUUUUCCUUUGAUAAAAAUAUAUAUAUUUCUCAUUUUCUAGGUAGCAUAAGCCACUUUAGAAAUUGGGGGGAGUAGCAGAAUUUUGUUUUCUUUUGUGAUGUCUAUAAUAAAUCAUAGUAUGGCAUGCA